rnacentral:lncRNA from 1 species
AUUUGUUAGAUGUUUCAUAAUAGUAAUUCAUGCUUUAAUGUCUCUUAAGAAGGAAAUUGAGGGAGUGUUUAACACCCAAUGCAAAGUUAUCCUAGACACACUGGACUUGUUUCUGACAACCUUGUUCAUAUCAAGUAUGACUUUCAUCAGACUUUAAGCACCUUUCUCUCCAGCAGCAAUUCAGAACAUACCUUCAAGCACACUCCAAAUCCUGAAUUCAGCUUAACUCAGUUGAAUGUGAAUUUUGAAUCAUUGUUAUUCCUAGUGUCUGAAACAGAUUGUCUGAAUCAAAUUGUUCCAAAAGCAUUAAAAAAAAUGAAGAGACAUCAGUUGAGAUCAAGAUCUAAAGUGGCAUCUCUUCAGUUCAUCUGUGGGACCACAAGGUGCCAUUAUGGCUGAAGUGUGCUGACUAAGCAGUGCUCACACCAUGAAGACAAGAAUGGGAAUGUGCUUGGGGAAUAUGAUUUAGUUGAGACUGAACAACAGAGGAGGGAGGAAGGAUACAAGGAAAUUAUAUUCUUCGGAAACCAAGGGAGAACAAUGAGUUUCUCUUAUUUAGGACUGAGGCAAAAAGGCAAAAUUGAUCCCCAGUCUCUCUCUAUGUACAACAGUCUAACCUGAUAAGGAGUUUUAGGAAGUCUCAUUAACUCAGUGCUCCU